AAAUUGAAGAGUUUGAUCAUGGCUCAGAUUGAACGCUGGCGGCAGGCCUAACACAUGCAAGUCGAACGGUAACAGGAAGCAGCUUGCUGCUUCGCUGACGAGUGGCGGACGGGUGAGUAAUGUCUGGGAAACUGCCUGAUGGAGGGGGAUAACUACUGGAAACGGUGGCUAAUACCGCAUAACGUCGCAAGACCAAAGAGGGGGACCUUCGGGCCUCUUGCCAUCAGAUGUGCCCAGAUGGGAUUAGCUAGUUGGUGAGGUAACGGCUCACCAAGGCGACGAUCCCUAGCUGGUCUGAGAGGAUGACCAGCCACACUGGAACUGAGACACGGUCCAGACUCCUACGGGAGGCAGCAGUGGGGAAUAUUGCACAAUGGGCGCAAGCCUGAUGCAGCCAUGCCGCGUGUAUGAAGAAGGCCUUCGGGUUGUAAAGUACUUUCAGCGGGGAGGAAGGUGUUGUGGUUAAUAACCGCAGCAAUUGACGUUACCCGCAGAAGAAGCACCGGCUAACUCCGUGCCAGCAGCCGCGGUAAUACGGAGGGUGCAAGCGUUAAUCGGAAUUACUGGGCGUAAAGCGCACGCAGGCGGUCUGUCAAGUCGGAUGUGAAAUCCCCGGGCUCAACCUGGGAACUGCAUUCGAAACUGGCAGGCUUGAGUCUUGUAGAGGGGGGUAGAAUUCCAGGUGUAGCGGUGAAAUGCGUAGAGAUCUGGAGGAAUACCGGUGGCGAAGGCGGCCCCCUGGACAAAGACUGACGCUCAGGUGCGAAAGCGUGGGGAGCAAACAGGAUUAGAUACCCUGGUAGUCCACGCCGUAAACGAUGUCUACUUGGAGGUUGUGCCCUUGAGGCGUGGCUUCCGGAGCUAACGCGUUAAGUAGACCGCCUGGGGAGUACGGCCGCAAGGUUAAAACUCAAAUGAAUUGACGGGGGCCCGCACAAGCGGUGGAGCAUGUGGUUUAAUUCGAUGCAACGCGAAGAACCUUACCUGGUCUUGACAUCCACAGAACUUUCCAGAGAUGGAUUGGUGCCUUCGGGAACUGUGAGACAGGUGCUGCAUGGCUGUCGUCAGCUCGUGUUGUGAAAUGUUGGGUUAAGUCCCGCAACGAGCGCAACCCUUAUCCUUUGUUGCCAGCGGUUAGGCCGGGAACUCAAAGGAGACUGCCAGUGAUAAACUGGAGGAAGGUGGGGAUGACGUCAAGUCAUCAUGGCCCUUACGACCAGGGCUACACACGUGCUACAAUGGCGCAUACAAAGAGAAGCGACCUCGCGAGAGCAAGCGGACCUCAUAAAGUGCGUCGUAGUCCGGAUUGGAGUCUGCAACUCGACUCCAUGAAGUCGGAAUCGCUAGUAAUCGUGGAUCAGAAUGCCACGGUGAAUACGUUCCCGGGCCUUGUACACACCGCCCGUCACACCAUGGGAGUGGGUUGCAAAAGAAGUAGGUAGCUUAACCUUCGGGAGGGCGCUUACCACUUUGUGAUUCAUGACUGGGGUGAAGUCGUAACAAGGUAACCGUAGGGGAACCUGCGGUUGGAUCACCUCCUUACCUUAAAGAUGC
rnacentral:rRNA from 1 species